rnacentral:rRNA from 1 species
GUAGCUGGUCUGAGAGGACGACCAGCCACACUGGGACUGAGACACGGCCCAGACUCCUACGGGAGGCAGCAGUGGGGAAUUUUGGACAAUGGGCGCAAGCCUGAUGCAGCGACGCCGCGUGAGGGAUGACGGCCUUCGGGUUGUAAACCUCUUUCAGCAGGGAAGAAGCGAAAGUGACGGUACCUGCAGAAGAAGCACCGGCUAACUACGUGCCAGCAGCCGCGGUAAUACGUAGGGUGCGAGCGUUGUCCGGAAUUAUUGGGCGUAAAGAGCUUGUAGGCGGUUUGUCGCGUCUGCAGUGAAAAUCCGGGGCUCAACCCCGGACUUGCUGUGGGUACGGGCAGACUAGAGUGUGGUAGGGGAGACCGGAAUUCCUGGUGUAGCGGUGGAAUGCGCAGAUAUCAGGAGGAACACCGAUGGCGAAGGCAGGUCUCUGGGCCACUACUGACGCUGAGAAGCGAAAGCGUGGGGAGCGAACAGGAUUAGAUACCCUGGUAGUCCACGCCGUAAACGUUGGGGACUAGGUGUGGGUCUCAUUCCACGAGAUCCGUGCCGCAGCUAACGCAUUAAGUUCCCCGCCUGGGGAGUACGGCCGCAGGGUUAAAAUUCAAGGGAUUGACGGGGGCCCCGCCAAAGCGGGGGAGCAUGUGGAUAAUUUGGAUGAACCGGGAAGACCCUUACCAAGCCUGGACAUACACCGGAAACAUUCAGAGAUGGGUGCCCCGUAAAGUUCGGUGUACAGGUGGGCCAUGGUGGUGUCCAGCUCGUGUCGUGAGAUGUUGGGUUAAGUCCCGCAACGAGCGCAACCCUCGUUCCAUGUGGCCAGCAACACUUUUAGUGGUUGGGGACUCAUGGGAGACUGCCGGGGUCAACUCGGAGGAAGGUGGGGAUGACGUCAAAUCAUCAUGCCCCUUAUGUCUUGGGCUUCACACAUGCUACAAUGGCCGGUACAAAGGGCUGCGAUACCGCGAGGCGGAGCGAAUCCCAAAAAACCGGUCUCAGUUCGGAUUGGGGUCUGCAACUCGACCCCAUGAAGUCGGAGUCGCUAGUAAUCGCAGAUCAGCAACGCUGCGGUGAAUACGUUCCCGGGCCUUGUACACACCGCCCGUCAAGUCACGAAAGUCGGUAACACCCGAAGCCGGUGGCCCAACCCCUUGUGGGAGGGAGC